rnacentral:rRNA from 1 species
CGGUUAGCGGCGGACGGGUGAGUAACACGUAGGCAACCUGCCUGUAAGAUCGGGAUAACUAUCGGAAACGAUAGCUAAGACCGGAUAGCUGGUCUUCUCGCAUGAGGGGAUCAUGAAACACGGGGCAACCUGUGGCUUACGGAUGGGCCUGCGGCGCAUUAUCUAGUUGGUAGGGUAACGGCCUACCAAGGCGACGAUGCGUACCCCACCUGAUAGGGUGAUCGGCCACACUGGGACUGACACACGGCCCAAACUCCUACGGGAGGCAGCACUAGGGAAUCUUCCGCAAUGGACGCAAGUCUGACGGAGCAACGCCGCGUGAGUGAUGAAGGUUUUCGGAUCGUAAAGCUCUGUUGCCAGGGAAGAACGCCUGAGAGAGUAACUGCUCUAAUGGUGACGGUACCUGAGAAGAAAGCCCCGGCUAACUACCUGCCAACAGCCGCGGUAAUACGUACGGGGCAAGCGUUGUCCGGAAUUAUUGGGCGUAAAGCGCGCGCAGGCGGUCAUUUAAGUUUGGUGUUUAAUCCCGGGGCUCAACCCCGGAUCGCACUGAAAACUGGGUGACUUGAGUGCGGAAGAGGAAAGUGGAAUUCCACGUGUAGCGGUGAAAUGCGUAGAGAUGUGGAGGAACACCAGUGGCA